GUUUCCGUAGUGUAGUGGUUAUCACGUCUGCCUCACACGCAGAAGGUCCCCAGUUCGAGCCUCGGCGGAAAGA
rnacentral:tRNA from 2 species